rnacentral:rRNA from 1 species
UACGUAGGGGGCUAGCGUUGUCCGGAAUCAUUGGGCGUAAAGCGCGUGUAGGCGGCCCGGUAAGUCCGCUGUGAAAGUCGGGGGCUCAACCCUCGAAAGCCGGUGGAUACUGUCGGGCUCGAGUACGGAAGAGGCGAGUGGAAUUCCUGGUGUAGCGGUGAAAUGCGCAGAUAUCAGGAGGAACACCAAUGCGAAGGCAGCUCGCUGGGACGUUACUGACGCUGAGACGCGAAAGCGUGGGGAGCAAACAGG